AACGAACGCUGGCGGCGUGCCUAACACAUGCAAGUCGAACGUGAUUAGAGAGCUUGCUCUCUAUGAAAGUGGCGCACGGGUGAGUAACGCGUAGAUAAUCUACCUGAUGAUUCGGGACAACACUUCGAAAGGGGUGCUAAUACCGGAUAAGCCCACGGGGUCCUUGGACCCUGCGGGAAAAGGGGGGGAUCUCAAGACCUUCCGUCAUCAGAUGAGUCUGCGUACCAUUAGCUAGUUGGUAGGGUAAAGGCCUACCAAGGCGACGAUGGUUAGCUGGUCUGAGAGGAUGAUCAGCCACACUGGAACUGAGACACGGUCCAGACUCCUACGGGAGGCAGCAGUGGGGAAUUUUGCGCAAUGGGGGAAACCCUGACGCAGCAACGCCGCGUGAGUGAUGAAGGCCCUUGGGUCGUAAAGCUCUGACAGAGGGAAAGAAAUGCAAGGGAGCUAAUAUCUCCUUUGCUUGACGGUACCCUCAAAGGAAGCACCGGCUAACUCCGUGCCAGCCGCCGCGGUAACAC
rnacentral:rRNA from 1 species